rnacentral:rRNA from 1 species
GACGUAAGGGUGCGUAACAAGUAUGCAAUCUGCCCUCAACAGGAGGAUAGCUCCCCGAAAGGGGAAUUAACACUCCAUAAUAUCAUUGGAUGGCAUCAUUUGAUGAUUAAAACUACGGUGGUUGAGGAUGAGCAUGCUUCUGAUUAGCUAGUUGGUAGUGUAACGGACUACCAAGGCGAUGAUCAGUAGGGGAACUGAGAGGUUGAUCCCCCACACUGGCACUGAGAUACGGGCCAGACUCCUACGGGAGGCAGCAGUAGGGAAUAUUGGACAAUGGGUGCAAGCCUGAUCCAGCCAUGCCGCGUGCAGGAAGAAGGCCUUCUGGGUUGUAAACUGCUUUUGUCAGGGGAUAAAAAGCCCAUGCGUGGGAAAUUGAAGGUACCUGGCGAAUAAGCCACGGCUAACUACGUGCCAGCAGCCGCGGUAAUACGUAGGUGGCAAGCGUUGUCCGGAUUUAUUGGGUUUAAAGGGUGCGUAGGCGGUCUAUUAAGUCAGUGCUGAAAUAUCCCGGCUUAACCGGGAGGGUGGCAUUGAUACUGAUGGACUUGAGUGCAGUCGAGGUAGGCGGAAUUGACGGUGUAGCGGUGAAAUGCUUAGAUAUCGUCAAGAACACCGAUAGUGUAGACAGCUUACUAGGCUGUAACUGACGCUGAGGCACGAAAGUGUGGGGAUCAAACAGGAUUAGAUACCCUGGUAGUCC